rnacentral:rRNA from 1 species
CGUAGACUACGAGCGUUACUCGGAUUUAUUGGGCGUAAAGGGUCUGUAGACGGUUUUUUAAGUCUUGUUUCAAAGACCUCGACUUAAUCGAGGAAAGGGGCAAGAUACUAAAAGACUAGAGUGGUAUCGGGGUUACUGGAAUUUUUAGUGUAGGGGUUAAAUCCGUGGAUACUAAAAAGAACACCAAGCGCGAAGGCGGGUAACUAGGUACAUACUGACGUUCAGAGACGAAAGCUAGGGUAGCAAAUCAGAUUAGAGACCUGAGUAGUCCUAGCCGUAAACAUUGUCCGUUAGUUCUUCCUUAAUUUAUUAGGGGGGGAUGUUAGCAAACGCGUUAAACGGAUCGCCUGGGGAGUAUAGCCGCAAGGCCGAAACUCAAACGAAUUGGCGGGGAGGCGCACAACCAGUGGAGCAUGUGGUUCAAUUCGAUACAAAGCGAUGAACCUUACCUGGGUUUGAAAUGUACCUGCAAAUCCCGAGAAAUCGGGACAUCCUUUGAGGGUGGUACACAGCUGUUGCAUGGCUGUCGUCAGCUCGUGACGUGAGUUGUUCUCUUAAGUGAGGUAACGAGCGCAACCCCCGUUCUGUGUUAUUGUGUCACAGAAGACUGCCUAGCAUUAUUUUGUUAGGAGGAAGGAGGGGACGACGUCAAGUCAUCAUGAUGCUUAUAUCCAGGGCUACACACAUCCUACAAUGGGCUAUAACAGAGGGUUGCAAGACCGCAAGGUGGAGCUAAUCCCUAAACUAGCCCUCAGUUGGGAUUGCAGGCUGAAACUCGCCUGCAUGAACCCGGAAUUGGUAGUAAUCGCACAUCAGCAGCGUGCGGUGAAUACGUUCUCGCCUCUUGCACACACCGCCCGU